rnacentral:rRNA from 1 species
AGGGGUGCUCUUUAGGGUUAACGCCCAGAAGAGCCGCAGUGAAUAGGCCCAAGCGACUGUUUAUCAAAAACACAGGUCUCUGCUAAACCGUAAGGUGAUGUAUAGGGGCUGACGCCUGCCCGGUGCUGGAAGGUUAAGAGGAGUGGUUAGCUUCUGCGAAGCUACGAAUCGAAGCCCCAGUAAACGGCGGCCGUAACUAUAACGGUCCUAAGGUAGCGAAAUUCCUUGUCGGGUAAGUUCCGACCCGCACGAAAGGCGUAACGAUUUGGGCACUGUCUCAACGAGAGACUCGGUGAAAUCAUAGUACCUGUGAAGAUGCAGGUUACCCGCGACAGGACGGAAAGACCCCGUGGAGCUUUACUGUAGCCUGAUAUUGAAAUUCGGCACAGCUUGUACAGGAUAGGUAGGAGCCUUUGAAACGUGAGCGCUAGCUUACGUGGAGGCGCUGGUGGGAUACUACCCUAGCUGUGUUGGCUUUCUAACCCGCACCACUUAUCGUGGUGGGAGACAGUGUCAGGCGGGCAGUUUGACUGGGGCGGUCGCCUCCUAAAAGGUAACGGAGGCGCUCAAAGGUUCCCUCAGAAUGGUUGGAAAUCAUUCAUAGAGUGUAAAGGCAUAAGGGAGCUUGACUGCGAGACCUACAAGUCGAGCAGGGUCGAAAGACGGACUUAGUGAUCCGGUGGUUCCGCAUGGAAGGGCCAUCGCUCAACGGAUAAAAGCUACCCCGGGGAUAACAGGCUUAUCUCCCCCAAGAGUUCACAUCGACGGGGAGGUUUGGCACCUCGAUGUCGGC